rnacentral:rRNA from 1 species
CGCCAGACUCCUACGGGAGGCAGCAGUGGGGGAUAUUGCACAAUGGGGGAAACCCUGAUGCAGCAACGCCGCGUGAGUGAAGAAGUCUUUCGGUAUGUAAAGCUCUAUCAGCAGGGAGGAGAAUGACGGUACCUGACUAAGAAGCCCCGGCUAACUACGUGCCAGCAGCCGCGGUAAUACGUAGGGGGCGAGCGUUAUCCGGAUUUACUGGGUGUAAAGGGCGUGUAGGCGGGGACGCAAGUCAGAUGUGAAAACCAUGGGCUCAACCUGUGGCCUGCAUUUGAAACUGUGUUUCUUGAGUACUGGAGAGGCAGACGGAAUUCCUAGUGUAGCGGUGAAAUGCGUAGAUAUUAGGAGGAACACCAGUGGCGAAGGCGGUCUGCUGGACAGCAACUGACGCUGAGGCGCGAAAGCGUGGGGAGCAAACAGGAUUAGAUACCCUCGUACU